UCAAUAUUUGUCAAUGAGCGCGCGUAUAGCUUGAACUGAGCACCGAGCCCGAGAUACUGGUGGUCUGCUAGCCUGACAGCCAACUAGCAAAUGGCGCUGAGAGCGAGAGCAAAUGCAUGCUUGGUCCUUCGCUCGUUUUCCUCAUCCUGUGUGAAGCUGAUCUCACAAGACAUUCG